UCAUGAGAACAGAGAAGUAAUGACCAAUAUUGCCCAGGUGUAACCUCUGGAUUACAACCACCAGCCUGAUGGAAGCAGCUCCACGUAUCAGACAAGCCUCUGUUUUCAGUAGAUGCCCACAACCAGCCAAGCAAGCAGGUGGUAAGUCCCCACAAAGGGGGUUUUAUUUUAAACAGCUGUCCCGUUUCAGUGAGUUCAGAAGGUCAUCGUCUCACUCGCCAGAACCACCAGAGCAACUGUAACUAUGUGAGGUGGUGUCCCGGCCUGACACACAGCUACAGACAACAUGGGAAAAGCCCAGCAAACGAAAGCACAAGACAAAGACCAUAGCAGUAUCGUUUUACAAAUAAAACAACUUCUCUUUU